rnacentral:hammerhead_ribozyme from 1 species
AUCCAGCUGACGAGUCCCAAACAGGACGAAACUCCAGUCGUGGAU